rnacentral:lncRNA from 1 species
GAAAUUUAGAAAGACUAUAUGAAGGGAUGACUCCCCGUUCACACGUCUAGGAUUGGAGUUCUUUUUAAAUGAGCGGUUAGAAGCAGAAAUUUAAGAAGAUUACUGGAGGGGAUGACUCCCCUAUCAUAUGCCUAUGAAUGGAGUUCUUUCUAAAUGAGCGGUUUUGCCUUUAGUUUCUUAAGAGGGAAGAUAAAGCCACUGAUAGCAACUAAAAUGGAACUGUUUGCUAAUAAGUUCGAGGGAAGAGUAAUGAAGUUAAUGGAGCUGUAUAAUGCUGUACACUAUAUGUGAGGAUCUGUCACAAGAGGAGUCAAAUCUGUGGAAGUGUUUGAUACGUUGACAACACAAAUAAAAAUUUAAUAAGUGAUCAGAAAAAACUGUAGUAUCUUAUGCGAAAUGAAUGGUUUACUACACGCAAUCACUCAUUUUUAUUUAUGCAAUCUGGAAAUGACUUAAAGUCUGUUGAUUUUUAUUCAUGUCCAUUCCUGGUCUAGGAAUUCUUAGAUCAGGUCCAGGACAUCCUACAGCUCUACUAGUUUACCAUCCACCUUACUCCACAGCAAUCUGGUAGAGACACCCAUACAAUUAUAGAUAUGAGCAGAAGAAGCAGCAUAGAUUCAAGAGCAAGGUGAAAAAGUCUUUUCCCUGUUGACAAAUUUCAAACAUUUAAUGUGGCCGCAUUGUAACCUGACCAAAGCAGUUCGGGACAGUGAUCGUAUUGGUUUUAUGUUCGCUGAAAUUCAGUUUGUAUGGCUCGGCCCAGGUUGUAAGUUCACUGAGAACGUGCAUGACCAAUCGAUCAAAUAGAUAUAAAAUAAAGUGCUUCAUUAAAAGAAGAUUGUUCGCAAAAGCGAUAAGAGUAACACUCUGAGAAUUAAAAUCACUUAAAGAAGUAAAAUUGAUUUAUAAGAGCCGAUGAAAAGCUGUGUUUACCAGGACCCACCAGAGUAUCGGCACAAGUGACGAACCCUGCGGCACUCCCAUAUUAAAAUUCUUAUUGGUGAUGUAAUCAUUUUUUCCAUCGAAAUAGAUUGUCGCUCUGUCUUCCACUAAGUUAAAAAUACAAGCAAAUUGUGUGGAUGCUCAAUCUUAUUCAGUUAAUUUUUGAGAAUCGCCCCGUUAGAUCGCUGUUAAAGGCAUUGUUAAUAUCCAGAGCCAUCUCAAUUGUGUGCUUAUUUUCCUGUUCAGCCGCUGUAACAAAGUCAACUAAGCAAUUGAGUGCCUCCUCCGUCUUUUCCCUGAUCUGAAGCCCCGAACUGCAUAUUCCAUUAAUUUAUAGAUUCGAGAUUAUAGACGAGUCUCUUAAUCAGCACUUAAUCCAGAAUCUUGUCCCAGACCAAGAGAAUGGAGAUGAGCCUGUAGAAUUUAGGCAAUCUUCGAUCUACCUUUAGUUUACCAAUCAGGACGGCGAUGUUAUUUUGUUUUCCAUUUAUUUUUGGAAAAUUCAUUCAGACAUUAAUUGAAGAACUCCAGAAGCCAAUGACGAUUGAUACAGAAGAUAUCUCCGAAAAUUUCCAUCUGGUGCCUUACCUGAUUUUAGAGCUCUGGCCGUAGCAUCUAGUUAAUCAAUUGUGAAUGGAGGAUCAUUAUUGUCAAGUUUCCUCACCUGUACAUGUUCAAUAUCAACCUCCAGAAAAUGAUGUGACGUUAUAUUUUCAACAAUCCCGCUAAAUCUAUUAGGAACUGAACCAUCCUGCUUAGUUUGGACUCUGUCUCAAGCACUCUUCUUUGGCAAUAGAGAAGAUUAAUCAAUUUCAAACCAUGUUUAAAGACAUAUUCCGAAUCAUACCUUUAGAGAAUUUUUUUUACUGUCUUAUACUGUAUAUGUUAGUAACGUGAUGCAAAAAAAAUGAGCUGCAUCAAUGUAUAAUUAUUAUUGGCAUGAAAAAGCUUAAUGUUAAAUCACCAUUCCUCUUUAGGUUAUAUUUAUAUAUUUAAUAUGAAUAUGCUAAGCCAUUGAUGUAAUUAAAAUAUUAUCUCGUG